rnacentral:tRNA from 1 species
GGCUGGGGAUGCAGAUCAGUGGUAGAGUGCUUGCCAGCAUGCCUGAGGCCCUGGGUUCAAUUCCCAGUCCCCCCC